rnacentral:rRNA from 1 species
GACAGAGGGUGCAAACGUUGUUCGGAAUUACUGGGCGUAAAGCGCGUGUAGGCUGCCUUGUAAGUCGGAUGUGAAAGCCCUGGGCUCAACCUAGGAAGUGCAUUCGAAACUGCGAGGCUUGAGUCCUGGAGAGGAAGGCGGAAUUCUCGGUGUAGAGGUGAAAUUCGUAGAUAUCGGGAGGAACACCAGUGGCGAAGGCGGCGAUCUGGGAAGAUACUGACGCUGAGGUGCGAAAGCGUGGGGAGCAAACCGG